CCCUUAGAUGUUCUGGGCCGCACGCGCGCUACACUGACUGACUCAACGAGUUUACAACCUGUGCCGAAAGGUAUGGGUAAUCUUUUGAAAUUCAGUCGUGAUGGGGCUAGAUUAUUGCAACUAUUAAUCUUCAACGAGGAAUGCCUAGUAAGCGCGAAUCAUCAGUUCGCGUUGAUUACGUCCCUGCCCUUUGUACACACCGCCCGUCGCACCUACCGAUUGAAUGGUCCGGUGAAAUCUUUGGAUUGGCGCUUUACUUUCUUCACGGAAAAUUUAGCACCGAGAAGUUGAUUAAACCUUACCAUUUAGAGGAAGGUGAANUCGUANCA
rnacentral:rRNA from 1 species